UACGUAGGGGGCAAGCGUUGUCCGGAUUUAUUGGGCGUAAAGAGCUCGUAGGUGGUUUGUCGCGUUGUCCGUGAAAACUCACAGCUCAACUGUGGGCGUGCGGGCGAUACGGGCAGACUGGAGUACUGCAGGGGAGACUGGAAUUCCUGGUGUAGCGGUGGAAUGCGCAGAUAUCAGGAGGAACACCGGUGGCGAAGGCGGGUCUCUGGGCAGUAACUGACGCUGAGGAGCGAAAGCGUGGGGAGCGAACAGG
rnacentral:rRNA from 1 species